CACCCCUUCUUGGUUAAGUUUUGGCAGUUGGAGAAAUUGGUCUGUUUCUUCUUGGUUGUUAAAGUUAUGAACAUAAAGUUGUUCUUAGUAUUCCCUUAUUAAGUAUGUUUCUGAAGAUAUUUGAUAGAGGGAAUGGAAGGUGGAUUUGAUCAAUCACUUGGGGCUUGGCAGAUCAUAUAUGUAUUUAUUUUAAAUAUACUGUACAUGAAGCUUCUCUGACCAGAAAGACAUAUGCCGUCAUUGAAGGUAUUAUGUGAGAACAUGAGCUCUUAAGUUGAAAUGGAAAAUACAACAUUUGAGCUUGCUUACUUUCAACAAUCGAGAAAAGAAUAGAGACUAAUAUUGAUAUUUCAAACGUUACGGAAGUGUGUGAAAUUAAAAAAAUAAACUUCUACUCACAGUUCCCAUGUUGCUAAUCUACUGUCAUAUAACCCUCUGUGGAUCUUUUUUCAGCCUAUUAAUUUUAUGUGAUCCCAGUAUGGAUUAGCAUUUCAGUUCAUGAUGGUUCAAGACUUAUCUGAUCUACAAUUCCCAAAGCUACCUUCACUACUUAUCCAGAUAGAAAGAAAUACAUUAUUAUGCUUUAUAGGUGUAUUAGUCUGUUCACAUGCUGCUGAUAAAUGCAUACCUGAGACUGGAUAUUUAUACAGAAAAAGAGGUUUAAUGGACUCACAGGUCCAUGUGGCUGGGGAGGGCUUGCAAUCAUGGCAGAACGCAAAAGUCACAUCUUA
rnacentral:lncRNA from 1 species